rnacentral:rRNA from 1 species
GUCUAAGGCCAUGCUACCCUGAACAAGCCCAAUCCUGUCUGAUCUUGGAAGCUAAGCAGGGUCAGGCCUGGUUAGUACUUGGAUGAGACACCACCUAGGAAGACCAGGUGCUAUAGGUG